GUCUGUGUGUGACAGGACGGCUCUGGCUCGGUUCAGACAGGCUCAGAUGGAGGAGGGGAAGGUCAAGGAGCGGAGACCUUUUCUGGCGUCAGAAUGCAGUGAACUUCCUAAAGCUGAGAAAUGGAGACGGCAGAUCAUCAGUGAGAUCUCAAAGAAAGUCGCUCAGAUCCAGAACGGUGAGAACCCCGUCUGUCUCUCACCUGUCUGUCUGUCU